rnacentral:lncRNA from 1 species
CGUUCGUCCGUCCGUCCGUAUGUCCUGUUUCAUGUUUCAGUAUGUAUUUGUUUAAAGUUUUUGGCCAAGAUAUUUUUGAUCAAGUUGAUGUCCAAUCAACUUGACACUUAGUACACAUGUUUCCUAUGAUAUGAUCUUUCUAAUAUUAAUGCCAGUUUAGAGUUUUUUAACCCCAGUUUCACUGUCUUUUGAAUAUAGAAAAUGAUAGUACGAGUAGGGCAUCCGUGAACUAUGGACACAAUCGUGUUAAGAUCUUGGAGUGUUGGAUAUUUCAUAGAUAUACCAUUUAUAAAAUGGUGAAUUUUUUCAUAUAUUUUGCCUUAGCCGUAUUUGGCACAACGUUUUUGGAUUACGAUUUUAAAAGUUUAUUUCCAGUGGCAAUGAUGAGUCUGAUGUAUACGACACGCGCGUCCGGCGUACAAAAAUAAACACAUUGUAUCUUUGGUGAGUUUUUACAUGACAUUGGCAAAACUGCCGGUCAAUUGUCGUGUAACUGUUCCAAGUUAUAGUAGUUUUGUCCGUAAUUCCUUGUAGACAUGAUAUUUGUAAUAUCAUUAUAUUGACGUUUCCUUUUCUCUUUUUGUCAAGUUUAUGUUAUCUAACCUAUCUGACAGUCUG